rnacentral:ribozyme from 1 species
ACGGGAUUUCUAUUACUACCUAAGCAUUUCCGGCAUCUUAAGAUUUUCUGCAGCGUUUAUGGCUCGUUUCGGAGCGAACCUCAUGGUGAAUUUUACGUUGCUUAUCCACAUGCGCUCCCCGGUCGAAGUUG